AGACAAUGGAUUUUAAUAAAGCCAGACGAUAUACCUACUUGCACAGCCUGAAACAGUCUAUUUGUUUAUGCUCCUGGAUAGUAGUUAAGGAAAAACAUGCUCUCAGUCCUUUAUUAAACAGAGUUAUGCCUAUUUCUUCAUGUCUAAGCAGAUUAUAGGUUAUUUUUUCCUGUUCUAGAACUUCAUAGGAAUUGACUCAUAUAGUCUUUUGUGUCUGGCUUCUUUCACUAGCAUAAUGAUUUGGAGGUUCAUCCAUGUUAUGUGUGUCAAUAGUUCAUUCCUUUUUAUUGCUGAAUGUAGUCUAUUGAAUAGAUAUACAAUAAUUUGUUACUCAUGCAUUUGUUGAUCACUAUUUGGGUUGCUUCCAAUUUUUGGAUGUUAGGGCUGUCUGAAUUUUUAUUUUUCAGCCAAUUCUGCUUACAUUACAUUGUAAAAAACAAAACAAAAGAAACAGCAACAGCAACCACUAUAGUAACAAAUCCCCAAACAAAAAGAAAACCCUUGUGUCACUUAGGAAUUCUUUUGCUUUUAAGCUAUAGCAUAUUUAAUCUACGGUGGUUUAAGUCAUAAGGACAUUUAUUGUGCCUCAAAAAAAUCUGAAGAUGCAUCCUUUCAGUGUUGGCCCAGUAGCUCAAACGUGUUAUAAGUGACCCAGAUAAUUUUUAUUUUUUGUUCUGUCAUGCUUGGUGUGUUGAUUCUUCUUCUUAUAUUUGUGACCUAUGCUUGCAAGUUGGCUGCAAAAACUCCAGGCCUUAUGUUCCUGUACACAUCAAGACAAAGGGGGAUAGGGCAGUUCCAGCAUGUUCUCUCCUGUGCCUUUUUAUAAUAAAGAAAAGCUUUGCCAAAGAUCCCCAGCAGACUUACCCUGAUGUCUCUGUGCUCUGAACUAUGCUACCACCAGCUCAAGAACAGCUGGGAAAGGGGGCAAAAUUCUAAGGAUUGCCUUUUCUGAAACAAUCAUAUUUCAUCACUUGGAGCUAAGUCCAUUGCCAAGCCAGACAAAUGAGGGUUCUGUUAGCAGAAAGAUUAAAUGGGAUGGCUGAUAUAAAGGUAACUAAUAGUGUUUUCCACAAUACCUUUCCUUGAUCUCUUUUCAUUAAUUUAUAUUUCUUUCUCAUUUGAGGUAUCUUCUUAACUUCUCUCAUCUCAAGUAUUUUUAAGGAAAUGCAAUUCUUCCAAUGGCACUCUUACAGAGAAGCACAUUCUACUUUAUGAAUAUCUUCAGAGAAUUGUGGUGCCUGUAAUUGGGGAUGGCUCCCUAGAGAGAAACUGUUCCACUCACAGCAUCCAGAAGGAAAAGAUUCAGAAACCAAGUGGCCAUCCCUGAUGUACAGCUGAUUGGACAUGAGUGGGGACUGGGAAGAAAUCGAAAUAAUUUGCUUCUCUCUUCUAAUCAUUCAGGAUGCGACACUGAGAGGCAAUUCCGAAGUCCUAUGUGAAAAUCAUAGAGGAAACUUUUGCAAGAUUUAUCAUGGACACUGAAGAAGAUGAAGAAAAUAUUUUUUGGAAUAGUAGCAUAUUGAUUAAAUAUCAUGACUGGCCCUGAGCUAACACCUGUGCCAAUCUUCCUCUGUUUUAUGUGGGAUGUUUUAUCUGGGAUCCGA
ensembl:lncRNA